rnacentral:rRNA from 1 species
UACGGGGGGAGCAAGCGUUGUUCGGAUUUACUGGGCGUAAAGGGCGCGUAGGCGGCCAGCACAAGUCGGUUGUGAAAUCUCCGGGCUUAACCCGGAAAGGUCAGCCGAUACUGCGGGGCUAGAGUGCAGAAGGGGCAACUGGAAUUCUCGGUGUAGCGGUGAAAUGCGUAGAUAUCGAGAGGAACACCUGCGGCGAGGGCGGGUUGCUGGGCUGACACUGACGCUGAGGCGCGAAAGCUAGGGGAGCGAACGGG